rnacentral:lncRNA from 1 species
UCUGGGUCCAGCUCUUGGGAUACAUCUUUCAUCCACAGUAGAGCUCCUCUGUAUUCUGUGCGUGCCUGCUCCAUCCGAUUAAUUGUCAUCAAGAAAGAGCAGUCAAUGAGGCUGAGUCUGUGCUGCUUCUAUGUUGAGACCUGCCUGCCAAAAUCUACAGAGACCCCUCCCUGACCUGUUCUCCCCUGAGUCAAGAGAGUCCCAUAAAGUUAUGGUGCUGGACUAACCUACUGCAUUUGUCUGAUGUUACUCCCAACACAUGUAUUAAUACAAUCGUCUUCAAGAAAUCACAUAUUUAUACACAAUCUUGAAGUGAAAAUACACAAUUAAAUCUAUAUGUGUUUCCCUUCCUUAUUCUGAAAUGCUCCACCAGAGUGCUAAAAGAUCUAGUGAUUUCAGGGUAUAUAAACUUGCUGAUUUUCUUCACAUUUUCAUUUCUGUCACAGGACUCACUUGGUCCAGUGAUUGUGAUAUAUUUUACCAAGCAGUAAAAGGCCAUAAGGUCGUUAGUAAUCUGACCCCAAAUUUCCUUUGUUCCUUUAUCCUCCCAUUAGUUUCAAUGACAGACUCUUCUGCCUAUGCAGGCUGUUCUCAUUCUUUAAGCUCUUUAAACUCCAAGUCUCUUCUCUACAUGUUCAACUUCUAUAAAUCCUUUAAGUUUUACCUCAAUUCCUGUCUAUGGAAUUGCCUUUGCCAAUUACUCUAAUCCACAGUUAUUCUUCAUUCCUAGGAAUUCAGAGUUAUGUCUGUAUCAUUAUUCUGAACUCAAUUACAUACUACUUACAUUGUCUCUCUUUUUGUGCAAAAAGUUGUUUCUCCAACUACUUCCUUGGGAAAAGCACAUGGCAGGUAGUCAAAAAAAUACUUGAAUAAUCAUGCUUUAUUGGAUUUAUUUCUUUAAUGGGACAAUGUAUAAGCUUUGAUUAUAAAGCAAUGAGAUUAAUUUACAUAGCUACAUGAGAAAAAUUAUUGAUUCAUUGAAAUCAAAUAUUUAUCGAGUACUGACUACAUGCUAGACAUUGUUUCUAGACUGGGGACACAGAAAUAAAACAGAAAAAUUCUGUCCUGGCGAGGUGCAGUGGCUCACACCUGUAAUCCCAACACUUUGGGAGGCUGAGGUGGGUGGAUCACGAGGAUAGGAGUUCAAGACCAACCUGGCCAAGAUGGUGAAACCCCGUCUCUACUAAAAAUACAAAAAUUGGCCAGGCAUGGUGGCAGGUGCCUGUAAUCCCAGCUACUUGGGAGGCUGAGGCAGAGAAUUGCUUGAACCUGGGAGGCGGAGGUUGCAGUGAGCCAAGAUCACGCCACUGCACUCUAGCCUGGGCGACAGAGUGAGACUCCACCUCAAAAAAAAAAAAUUCUGUCCUUAAGGAGGGCAUACUCUAGUGGUGGGAAGAAAAACAAUGGACAAAAUAUACAGAAUGUUGAAUAUUAUUAACUGGACAGGGAGUUUUGAGGGAAAGGGGUAUUGUAUUGUAUUGUAUUUUUUGUACCCUCUGAGGGCAGAGAGUAUUGCAUUUUAGAUAUGCAGUUCAGGGAAGGCCUCAUUUAAAAAGAUGACAUUUGACCAAAUACCCAAAGGAAGUUAGGGAUUCCACUAUGCAGAUAUGCCUACUAUGUAAGAUAUUAAUAUGGCUAAAGAGGAGAAGCUUUUAGGAGGUGUGAUUAGAGAGGUAGCCAUGUCCAGCAGGCCCACUGUAAUUAAAAAAGGAGAAGAGAUCCAAAGAUUGAGUUUUAACCUGAACAAGUCCAGGAGAGAAGAGAAUCAGCAAAGGCAGGAUGCCAAGAAAGAGUGACCAGGAGGAGGAAAACCAGGAAAGCCAAGUGAAGAAAGUGUAUCAAGGAAUAGGAAAUAAUAAAUGUGUUAAAUAAUGUGAUAAGCCAGAUUUAGAAGGAGUUGGUUAAUCAUGACCUUGACAAGAGAAAUUUGGUGGAGUGAUGGGGAUGAAAACUUGACUGGAGUGAGUACAAGAGAAAUUGGAAGGAAAGGAACAGAGAUCAUGAAUACAGACAAUUACAUCACAUUUUUCUGUAAAGAGCAGCAGAGGAAUGGAAUUUAACUGCAAGGGCAAGUGGGAGUCAAGAAAGAGAGGUUUAAGUGAUGGAAACAAAUCCAUUUCAGAUGCUGCGCAGGCCCAGGCAUGGUGACUCACACCUGUAAUCCCAGUACUUUGGGAGGUUGAGGCAGGAGGAUCACUUGAGGCCAGGAGUUUGAAACCAGUCUGGGCAGCAUAGUGAGACCCUGUGUCUACAAAAAAAUACAAAAAUUAUCCAGGUAUGGUGGCACACGCCUGUAAUCCCAGCUACUUGGUAGGCUGAGGUGGGAGGAUCACUUGAGCCCAGGUGGUGGAGACUGUAGUGAGCUGUGAUUGCACCACUGCACUCCAACCUGAGUGACAGAGAAAGACCCUGUCUCAAAGAAAAAAAAUAUCAGCAAAAAAUAAAUCUGGGUCAGAGGAUUUGAUUAACUGAGGAAAGAAGAGAGAAUACUGGGGCCUUUGAGAACAGGUAACUGUAAAUAUUCAUAUUUUGCCAUAAGAAGCUAUUCACAA